rnacentral:misc_RNA from 1 species
AAGUCGUAACAAGGUUUCCUUCCAGGGAGUUCAUUCUCUGAAGCCUUCCGCAGCGACUGUUAAAGAAUUGCGCAGUUUGCCCUGCAAGCAAUGCCGCAACAAUGCUGAGACCCAUAUUGUUGAAUCAGCAGCCAGACCUAACACUGGACUGGCCCACAGAUCAAAAUGCGGUACCCAUUUGAUGGGUAAGAUAUGACCGGUCUUAACCAGAGUUGGUUAAGAAUCCCGCGUUCCGUAGGUGAACCUGCGGAAGGAUCAUUACUGAGAAAGGGUCUCCAGGCCCAAUCUUCAACCCCAUGU